UUUGAACGAGUCGGUUCUUCACAAAAUAUUGCAAAUGAAUUACUGUUUUGUACCGGGUCGAUUCUAAACUAGCUAUUGAUUGAACGGUUUGAAUCAGUUUGAAUGAUUUGUUCCGUUUGCUGCAAGAUCUGAAUCAUCUGUACAUCUGCAGGCUGCAGCACUUCUCGCUCGUAACGUGAAACUUAAAAACACGCCAAGGAGUGGAUGCAAGUGAACUAUCAAUCUACUGAAACAGAAGCGGGAAAUGUAUUCGAAGACGAAAAUGCUCGCGCGACCUGUGCGUCAGACCCGGAUAAACGCACGCGAGCUGACAAAAUCCUGAGUAGCUGUUAUUCAACAUAAACACAUUUCCGCACACAUGAAGAUGGAUGACGAUAGUUCAUCUUAAAAUGAAACUUAUGUUUAUCAGCUUACCCCCAGGCCAUCCAAGAGAUGCUCUUAAGAACAACGCCCUGAUGUCCAAGGUCAACCAGCAAGAAGCUGAGAAGGCACUGCCAAAAUGGUUUACUGGGGCAAGGGACAGAGGAGGACAGAGAUCAUCAAGAAUGCAGAAAAGGAUGUCUGUUUGAGAAAGGUUAAAACUACAGUUGUUGAUUUGAACUGUUGUAGUUCUUUAAUUUUUCUUAAAGGAAAACACAAUCAUUUUUCAAUAUUUACCAUGUUCUUCCAUCAACUUAGAUGAAUUAAUACAAACCUCUCUUUUCUCAAUGUGUGCACUUAAAGGUGGGGUGCACAAUUUCUAAAAAAAACGUUUUGGAAAAGGGAGACAGGCCGACUAUCAAAACACACUUGUAACCAAUUAGCAGCAUGUCUACUAAAUGACAUCGUUGCCUGGGUUGCGUAUGUGUGGGACGGGUCUAUCAAAAGAAGGUCCAGAUUCUAUUAGGGUAAGGGUGUGUCAGGGUUUCCGCGGGGUUGUAAAAGGUAGUAAAAGGUAGUAAAUUAAAUUAUGCCAAAUUAAGGCCAGUAAAAAGUAGUAAAAAGUAGUAAGCGUCAUCUGACGAGGUAGUAAAUUUUCGAUUGCCUUUUGUAAUGUUAUGAUGCCUGGAAAUUAGUUCAAAUCACCUGCAUAUCUGGGCAAAUAAUCAAAGAUCUUUCGUCUCUGGGAUGUGAUCAAAGCCUGGAGUGGAGCCAAAUCACGUUCCCCUCUCCGCAGUAAGCGUUCUGUAAUCACUACGGACCGGAUCCACUUCGUGUUUUUUGACUGUAUCACGUUAAGCUGAGGUAAAACUUUUUCAGCUAGCAUGGACAAACUUAUAAUGCAGGAAUGCUCCGAUGUUUUGAAGAUCGAUAAAGGUGUAAAAGACGAUUGACUUGGCUUAGCGAAAUAAUGAAGAUUGGCAAGCCUUUCAGUUCGUGGGAUAAGACAACCAAACAGGUAAUUGCGUGUCUUUGCACAGUAUGACUAACGUAAGGGGUCCUGUAUUUUGGGGGUAAAUGAUUUCUCACGUUACUGAUCAUCCGCGGCACGCUUUUUAAUGCUAUGCUGAUAUAGCCAGUGGCUGGUACAACGGGUUUGUUUAACUCGUGGGUAAACUUCAUGUGGCGCCACAACAACCAAAAGGCAGAUGACAUCCAAAUCCUGUUAGAGCGAUUGACGAGGAUAAGAGGAGACUGCUUCCGAAAUGCUCUCGCGGGACUUUGAUGUCAUCCACCUGUCGGUUCUUGCAGUUGCAUUUGCUGUGGUCACAAAAACGUAACAUUUGUACAUAUAUUUAAGCACAGCAGUUUAAAAACAGGUGAUUUUAAACCAUUCAAACACAAACAACAGUGCGUCCGCUGUUUCUGUGUCAGAGGAGCACGCUAGCCGCACAUUCGUUUCUCAUUGAGCUUGUGUUGUACGUAUUUUUGCCGCUUUAUUGGCCUUAAAUAACACACAUGCGUCAAAAAUCCCGUCUUUGCAAAUAUCCUCAUAUAAACACGACCAUUUAGGUCUUAGGAGAAAGUAAACAGCAGAAACAUUGCGCAUAAACUAGCACAUCAGCGCUGCCUCUAUUGUAACAUAAAAAUUUGUUGAUAAAGUACAGUCAUUCAAUUAACAACUGUCACGAUGGUUACAUACAUCCUGUGCGAUUUGUACACUACUUUAACUCGAGUUGCUCGUUCAGGGUUUAUAUUCAUACAUAACGUUACUGUAUUAGAGCUGUGACUGUAAGCUGUUGUGUGAACAGAACAGACCCUGGAUUAUUUGUUUAUGUGUACUGAAUAAUAUGAUAUGAAAAAGUUGUAUUUGUUCACAUUAGUAAAUGCAUUAUAUAACAUAAACAAACAAUGAAAAAUAUAGAGUAUAUAAUCAUUAAUUAAUUCUUGUUUAUGUCAUUACAGUAAUUGACGGUGGUUCAUGGUGCAUUCACUAAUGUUAACAGUUUCAACUUUGAUUAAAAAAUGAUUAGUAAAUGCUAAAAUAAAUACAUUUACAAUUAAUAAAUAAUUAAUAAAAGAUUCAUUAAAGGUGGUGAUAUUCAUGUUUUCUUUUUAUACAGUAUAGUGAGUUAUUUAGCUGUUUCGCCUUAAUCUGAAAUGCCCUGCAAACUACAGCUAGCUAUAUGCCACAUGAGACUUCAAUAUGGAAUUUAUUAAAAUCUCCCCUUAAAAUGCUAUUGGUCUCGCCUACAUAGUGUUAGGUAAAGGAAUAUGACUUGGCCUGAAAAAUAUUUCAGUCAGAAGAAUUUUUUCACUUUAAUUCUUUUUUUUGUAUGUUAUAUUUGUCAAAAUCUGUGUAAAUAAUAGAAAGGUCGCUGAUUAACACUUGCAAUUCAGUGUCGUGAUGGUUUUAAAAAAUAUUCUGAAGGUAGUAAAAAAGGUAGUAAAAAGUAGUAAAUUUAACUUAAGGAUUUCUGUAUAAACCCUGUGUGUUUGUUUAGAUGAUUUCAAAUAUCAACAUUGGCUUUCAUGCACCCUGCCUUUAUUUGUUGUAAAGUGUGGCGUGAAUGUGUUAGCAUUUAGCCAAGCACCAUUCAUUCAUUAGGAUCCAAACAGGGAUGAAUUUAAUAGCCACCAAACACUUCCAUGUUUUCCCUAUUCAAAGACUGUUACAUGAGUAGUUACACGAGGAAGUAUGGUAAAAAAUAUAACUAUAUUGUAUGGCGGAAGAGCACUUAGUUUGUAGCACUCGACCUUGGGCACAGUAACAUCAUCACUCCUGACUACUCCCCCUCUUGCUUAAACUACAGUCAACAUAACCAACACGCCUGUACUAAUGUUAGUACAUUGAGCAGACUCUGCGAAAUAUCAAGUUAAGUUUAAGUGUACGCAUUGAGAAAAGAGAGAUAUGUAUUUAUUCGGCUAAGUUGAUGGAAGAACAUAGUAAAAUAUUGAAAAACUGUUUGUAAUUAUCUUA